UAACAUAUUGUGGUAGAUACACUGAAUUGUGUUUAUAAAUAGCCUAUAUAUGGUGAUAUACAAUGGAGAAAAUCCCCCUCCCUGUGUCCUUAAAUAGGGCUAAUCCCUAAAGUCCAUUACAGGCCUACUGCUCUGUCGGUUCUGGCACACCACAACCGACUGGUGUCAUUUCAAUAUGUCUAUUGGUUAUGAUAUGCUAUGUUACACUAUCAUCAC